rnacentral:tRNA from 1 species
GGCUGGAGAGAUGGCUCAAUGGUUAAGAGCACUGACUGCUCUUCCAGAGGUCCUGAGUUCAAUUCCCAGCAACCA